CGUGUCAGAUCUCGGAGACAAACACUUUGUUUUUUCUCCACAAACGCAGCGUUUCUCAAACUAUCUUUGGACUUUGACUUUAGCAGACAGACAGCUGGCAGAGGGAGGAGGAGGAGGAGGAGGAGGGAGGAGGAGGAGGGGGAGGAGGAGGGGGAGGGAGGAGGAGGAGGGGGGAGGGAGGAGGAGGAGGAGGAGGGAGGAGGAGGAGGGGGGAGGGGGAGGGGGAGGGAGGAGGAGGAGGGGGGGGGAGGAGGAGGAGGAGGAGGGGGGAGGAGGAGGAGGAGGGGGGGGGAGAGAGUAGUUGGGAGGAGGAGGGGGGGGGGGGGGAGGGGAGAGGAGGAGGGGAGAAGGAGGAGGAGCAGGAGGGGGGGAGGGAGGAGGAGGGGGCGGGAGGAGGAGGAGGGGGGGAGGGGAGGAGGAGGGGGGAGGAGGAGGGGAGAAGGAGGAGGAGGAGAAGGGGAGGAGGAGGGGGGAGGAGGAGGGGGAGGAGGAGGAGGGGGGGGGAGGAGGGGAGAAGAGGAGGAGGAGAAGGGAGAAGGAGGAGGAGGAGGAGGGGGGAGGAGGAGUAGUUGGGAGGAGGAGGGAGGAGGAGGAAGGGAGGGAGGAGGAGAAGGAGGAGGAGGAGGAGGAGAAGGGGAGGAGGAGGGAGGAGGGGGGGGGAGGAGUAGUUGGGAGGAGGAGGGGGGGGGAGGAGGAGGAGGGGGGGGAGGAGGAGUAGUUGGGAGGAGGAGGGGGAGGAGGAGAAGGGGGAGGAGGAGGGGGAGGGGAGGAAGGAGGAGGGGGAGGAGGAGGAGGAGGAGGGGGAGGAGGAGGAGGAGGGGGGGAGGAGUAGUUGGGAGGAGGAGGGGGAGGAGGAGGAGGGAGGAGGAGGAGGAGGAGGAGGGAGGAGGAGGAGGGGGGAGGAGGAGGAGGGGGGGAGGAGGAGGGGAGAAGGAGGAGGAGGAGAAGGGGAGGAGGAGGGGGGGAGGGAGGAGGGGGAGGAGGAGGAGGGGGGGAGGAGGGGAGGAGGAGGGGGAAGGGGAGGAGGAGAAGGGGGAGGAGGAGGAGGAGGGGAGAGGAGGGGGAGGAGAGGAGGGGGGGGAGGAGGAGGGGAGAGGAGGAGUGAGGAGGAGGGAGAAGGGAGGAGGGGAGGAGAAGGGGAGGAGGAGUAGUUUGUUGAGGAGGAGGGGGAGGAGGAGGAGGAGGAGGAGGGGAGGAGGAGGGGAGGAGGAGGAGGAGGAGGAGGAGGAGGAGGAGGGGAGGAGGAGGGGGGAGGAGGAGGGGGAGGAGGAGGAGGAGGAGGGGGGGGAGGACAUGUUAAACCUCACUCUGCUGAUUCAAAUGCAGUUUUUACCACAACACAGUUUGAUUUUCAGUUUUAUAGUCAGUCAGACAUGGUGUGCCUCCUCCCCCCACGUCUCUCUCUCUCUCUGUCUGUUCUUAUGUCUCUCGCCCGUCACCUCUUCACCUCGUCCUCUCCGGGUGUCGCAGCAGAUGGUCCCUCAGAGGGGCCCCACACGGGCUGACAGAGGUGAGGAGGAGGGAGACGAUCACAUGUAA
ensembl:lncRNA